rnacentral:rRNA from 1 species
AUUUUGGGCAAUGGCCGCAAGGCUGACCCAGCGACGCCGCGUGCGGGAUGACGCCUUUCGGGGUGUAAACCGCUGUCAGAGGGGAAGAAUGGCUCAUGUGUAAAUAAUGCAUGGGUGUGACGGUACCCUCAAAGGAAGCACCGGCUAACUCCGUGCCAGCAGCCGCGGUAAUACGGAGGGUGCAAGCGUUGUUCGGAUUUACUGGGCGUAAAGCGCGCGCAGGUGGGUGUGCAAGUCGGAAGUGAAAUCCCGGGGCUCAACUCCGGGGCUGCUUCCGAAACUGCACGUCUAGGGACUGGUAGAGGCUGGUAGAAUUCCCGGUGUAGCGGUGGAAUGCGUAGAGAUCGGGAAGAAUACCCGUGGCGAAGGCGGCCAGCUGGGCCAGAUCCGACACUGAGGCGCGAAAGCGUGGGGAGCAAACAGG